CGGAACCCUUUGCCGUAGCUGGAGAGACGCUAUUUUCCCAAAAUGGAGCGGAGGAGGAAAAUGUCCAUCACAGCUUCACCCCGCCCCCCGCAGACGGCUAGCACCAAUUAGUAGCGCGCAGAGCGAGUACAAAGCUAGGGGAGGAGCCUGCUGUUGCCCCAGCAACAACCACGGAAACCAAGACGAGCGCGGUCGCGGAAGUAUCGACGAAGCUAGCUUGGAAUCCUAGUACUACCCUUUACUUGCUGGGCCUCAGUUUCCCCCCCGUCAAAUGGAGAUAAUACACUUACCUCACAGGGUUGUGAUUAUAUUUUUCCCCUCCCAGGGCCAUGGCUGAGGUGCACGUGAUCGGGCAGAUCAUAGGGGCCAGCGGUUUCUCGGAAAGUAGCCUCUUCUGCAAGUGGGGCAUUCACACAGGUAUUCCCCCAAGCCUGGUUCAUUUCCACACCAAGACCCCUAGCCUAGAGGCUACAUGCUCCUUCCUCCACCCCUUAACGCAGACUCUUAACCUCAUUAGUCAUGGUAUAGUGUAAUGGUUAGGGUCAUGGGCUGCCAGAUCUGCAUUUAAAUAUUAACUCCCCCACCUAUUAAUUGGAGACCUUUGGACUCGACCACUUUGAGCCUCAGUUUCCUUGUUUCAAAGUGAAGCUAAUAGUAGCUAAGAAGCAGCACAGGUUUGAGGUUAAGAGCACAGACUGCCUGGGUUCAAAACCAGUUAUUGCUUGUUAAGGCACCCUUGGGCUGAUUAUGUGAACUUGGGCACUUCUCUUCACCUCGACUUCCUUGUUUGUACAAUGAGAGUCAUAGAAAUAUUUACCUGUUGAAGUUGUCAUGAGUACUAAACGAGUAUCAACAGCACUUAGAAUAGGAAUAGGGCUGGAAUAGGAAGUGCUCAUUCAGUGUUUGCCUGGCUUAUACAAGACUUUGAUGGGGUCUUGUUUGUAAAGCCUGGGGUAUGUUGUUGCGUGGCACAGAUGAAUGUCUAUGAAACAGAUGUGGCCAUUUGGCAUUAUCAUGUCUUCAGGCCUGAGUCCUAGUCCCUUUUUUUUUUUUUUUUUUUUUUUUGAGACUCGUUCUGUUUCCCAGGCUGUAGUGCAGUGGUGCAAUCUAGCUCAGCCUUCCAGGUUCAUGCCAUUCUCCUGCCUCAGCCUCCUGCAUAGCUGGGACUACAGGCGCUCGCCACCAUGCCCGGCUAUUUUUUUUUUUUUUGUAUUUUUAGUAGAGAUGGGGUUUCACUGUGUUAGCCAGGAUGGUCUCGAUCUCCUGACCUUGUGAUCUGCCCAUCUCGGCCUCCCAAAGUGCUGGGAUUACAGGCGUGAGCCACUGCGCCUGGCCCUUUUUUUUUUUUUUUUUUUUUUGAGACAGAGUCUCACUCUGUAGCCAAGCUAGAGUGCAGUGGCACGAUCUCGGCUCACUGCAAUCUCUGCCUCCUGGGUUCAAGCGAUUCUCCUAUGUCAGCCUCCCGAGUGGCUGGGACUACAGGCACCCGCUACCAUACCCAGCUAAUUUUUGUAUUUUUAGUAGAGAUGGGGUUUCACCAUGUCGGCCAGGCUGGUCUUGAACUCCUGGCCUUAAGUGAUCCGCCUGCGUAGGCCUUCCAAAGUGCUGGGAUUACAGGCGUGAGCCACUGCGCCUGGCCCUUUUUUUUUUGAGACAGAGUCUCACUCUGUAGCCAAGCUAGAGUGCAGUGGCACGAUCUCGGCUCACUGCAAUCUCUGCCUCCUGGGUUCAAGCGAUUCUCCUAUGUCAGCCUCCCGAGUGGCUGGGACUACAGGCACCCGCUACCAUACCCAGCUAAUUUUUGUAUUUUUAGUAGAGAUGGGGUUUCACCAUGUCGGCCAGGCUGGUCUCGAACUCCUGGCCUUAAGUGAUCCGCCUGCGUAGGCCUUCCAAAGUGCUGGGAUUACAGGUGUGAGCCACUGCGCCUGGCCCCUGGGUCCUUUUUGAUUCUACAGGUAAGUGAGGUGGAAGUUGAAAUUCCCAGGAAAUCGGAACCCUCCAGCUGAUGGAUGAGGGGCAGGCUCUGGAGUCAGACUUGGUUUCCAGGUUGGACCACUCACCUUCUCUGUGACCCUGGGCAGAGGCUGUCCCCUCUUGGAGCCUCAGUUUCCUCAUUUGUUCUUCAUAGGGCUGUUGGGAAAUCUUGCUUUUAAGGAGCCUGACGCAGGGCCUGGUGCUUCCCUCAACUCAGCCCAGAAGGGAGUAAUGACUAACCUGAUUUUUAUUAUUUCAGGGAGUUGCUGGGGAUGUUGAUCCAGCCAAGAAUACUGAGGCAGUUGGAUGAAAGGCUUGGGCUCUGCAGUUAGAGCUGAGUCUGAAUCCAGUCCCAUGAUGGGACCUUGGUCUGCUAUA
rnacentral:lncRNA from 1 species